rnacentral:rRNA from 1 species
AUAUAACUAAGCGGAGGAAAAGAAACUAACCAGGAUUCCCUCAGUAACUGCGAGUGAAGCGGGAAGAGCUCAGACUGAAAAUCUUCGGAAUUGUAGUCUGUCGAAGUCAGGUCAUCUCAAUUCUGCGGGCAAAGUCUCCUGCGAACGGAGCGCCGAGGAGGGUGAUAGCCCCGUUCAUGCCUGCAGAAGCGAGUGUACGACCGGCUUUCAACGAGUCGAGUUGUUUGGGAUUGCAGCUCUAAGCGGGUGGUAAAUUCCAUCUAAAGCUAAAUAUUGGUGGGAGACCGAUAGCGCACAAGUA